UGUGUGUGUGUGGGGGGGGGGUUGCAGAUAGUGACUGAGUCAGACUGGGAUACUCCUGGCAGCUCCUCAUGGAUCCAAGCAGCAACAGUGACCAAGGAGCAGGUCGGCGGGAGGAGCGUCGCCUGCAGCCCGUCCCAGCAGCGCUGUGUCCAGUGUGAUGUCUGUUCUGACGCGGAGCCGCGAGCUGCCACCAUUCAGCGUGGAGCCCGAGUUUGGGACCAUAGAGCCCGGUUCCACGCAGGACGUCAGUGUUCGAUUUUCCCCCCUGGAGGCGGCCCAGCUUCAGGGCAGGAUGGUCUGCAGGUUAAUACAAUACAGCCAUCUUGCUGAAUCGAUCUACCACGGUGAGGAUGGCCGUGUAGCCGUCCGAUGGGGGUAGACCGGUGACGAAGUCCAGGAAGAUGUGGGACCAGGGACGAUGUGGGACCGGCAGAGUUCGGAGGAGCCCUGCUGGCGCCUGAUGAGAAGGUUUGUGUUGGUUGCAUAGGACAGGCAUUAACAAACUCCUUGGUGUCCUCCUGCAGAGUUGACCACCUAAACCGCUGGAGGAUGACAUCACAUGUCCUUUGGAUUCCCUGGUGGCAGUCAUUUAAGAGCCUACAAGAACAUCAACAGCCCCUGAACCCCCUGCAGGCCGUCAGCACUUACUACACUGAGGGACAAGAAGCUCCUCCCCUGCCAGGGAACCUGAUGAAAUCUUUAAAGUUCACUUCCUUUUCACUUGAAAUGACCUCUUCAUGAUUGUUCUUGGUCAGUCCCCUGCUGAAAGUGAGGAAGAGGAGCCAGAGGCCACGACACGAGACAGUCAACACAGGGGAGUCCGAUGCUGAGAGAGGAGAUGAAGAGACAGUAUCCAGGGAGACAACAGCAGCCCAGAAGAAGAUUCCUCAGGACGGUGUGAAAGCAGCAAAGAGGAGCCCCCAUAUUGAAAUCCAGACUUCUGUUCACCAGAUCUACCAGCAGCUGUCGGUCACACUGAGCACUGCAGGCCAACAAGCACCACAUAGGUAACACACAAGCCACCGCUGUGAACCCUGGGUGCUUUGGGAUCGUCCUUCCUCUCUACUUGUCCUUGACCUCAAUGGAAAAGGUCAUGAGGUCAAGGAAAGUUGUGAAGGACGAUUCAUAGGACUUAUGAAAAGAAAAUCUGACUCCACUGACACUAAACUACGUGGUCAUGUGACGGUGGAUGUUGUUGAUGGGUCUGUCGUGGUGAAACUACACAUUUCUGAAGAUGAACUACAAAAACCUCAG